CACACCGCCCGUCGCUACUACCGAUUGAAUGGCUCAGUGAGGCCUUCGGACUGGCUCGGGGAGGUUGGCAACGACCACCCCGAGCCGGAAAGUUCGUCAAACUCGGUCAUUUAGAGGAAGUAAAAGUCGUAACAAGGUUUCCGUAGGUGAACCUGCGGAAGGAUCAUUACCAAUUUUCGGGGGGACUUCGGUCCCUGUCUGAACCCUUGUCUUUUGCGUACCAUUUGUUUCCUCGGCGGGCUCUGCCUGCCGAUAGGAUACUAUAAAAAACCCUUUGUAAUUGCAAUCAGCGUCAGAAAACAUAUAAUAAUUACAACUUUCAACAACGGAUCUCUUGGUUCUGGCAUCGAUGAAGAACGCAGCGAAAUGCGAAAAGUAGUGUGAAUUGCAGAAUUCAGUGAAUCAUCGAAUCUUUGAACGCACAUUGCGCCCCUUGGUAUUCCAUGGGGCAUGCCUGUUCGAGCGUCAUUUGUACCUUCAAGCUCUGCUUGGUGUUGGGUGUUUGUCCCCGUUUUAUGCGCGGGACUCGCCUUAAAGCAAUUGGCAGCCGGCGUACUCGCCUUGGAGCGCAGCACAUUUUGCGUCCCUUGGCCUGAACGCUUGCGUCCACGAAGCCUAUACUUUUGCUCUUGACCUCGGAUCAGGUAGGGAUACCCGCUGAACUUAAGCAUAUCAAUAAGCGGAGGAAAAGAAACCAACAGGGAUUGCCCUAGUAACGGCGAGUGAAGCGGCAUCAGCUCAAAUUUGAAAUCUGGCUCUUUCAGGGUCCGAGUUGUAAUUUGCAGAGGGCGCUUUGGCGUUGGCAGCGGUCUAAGUUCCUUGGAACAGGACGUCACAGAGGGUGAGAAUCCCGUACGUGGUCGCUAACCUUCGCCGUGUAAAGCCCCUUCGACGAGUCGAGUUGUUUGGGAAUGCAGCUCUAAAUGGGAGGUAAAUUUCUUCUAAAGCUAAAUACUGGCCAGAGACCGAUAGCGCACAAGUAGAGUGAUCGAAAGAUGAAAAGCACUUUGGAAAGAGAGUCAAAUAGCACGUGAAAUUGUUGAAAGGGAAGCGCUUGCAGCCAGACUUGCCUGUAGUUGCUCAUCCGGGCUUUUGCCCGGUGCACUCUUCUGCGGGCAGGCCAGCAUCAGUCUAGGCGGUUGGAUAAAGGCCUCUGUCACGUACCUCCUUUCGGGGAGGCCUUAUAGGGGAGGCGACAUGCAACCAGCCUGGACUGAGGUCCGCGCAUCUGCUAGGAUGCUGGCGUAAUGGCUGUAAGCGGCCCGUCUUGAAACACGGACCAAGGAGUCUAACAUCUAUGCGAGUGUUUGGGUGUCAAGCCCGAACGCGUAAUGAAAGUGAACGGAGGUGGGAUCCCUUUUAGGGUGCACCAUCGACCGAUCCUGAUGUCUUCGGAUGGAUUUGAGUAAGAGCAUGGCUGUUGGGACCCGAAAGAUGGUGAACUAUGCUUGAAUAGGGUGAAGCCAGAGGAAACUCUGGUGGAGGCUCGCAGCGGUUCUGACGUGCAAAUCGAUCGUCAAAUUUGGGCAUAGGGGCGAAAGACUAAUCGA
rnacentral:rRNA from 1 species